GCUCAAUGCAGCCAACGCCAAGACUCUGUGGAGGACCACAAUCUAGGAUCCUUCCGCUGCUGGACAUUUGGGGGGGGGGGGCAGCAAUGGUGGAGAUGUCCCUCAAAAUAAGGGGAGGGGUGUCACCCCAGGGGGCCACAUGAGCGGCAAGGAUGGGAGGUAAAAUUGUGUAAAGACCCUGUAACAAAGCAUUGAAUGUAUGCAUAGUCUC